CCUACGGGUGGCUGCAGUGGGGAAUAUUGGACAAUGGGCGAAAGCCUGAUCCAGCCAUGCCGCGUGUGUGAAGAAGGCCUUCGGGUUGUAAAGCACUUUCAGUGGGGAAGAAAGCCUUGGGGCUAAUACCCUCGAGGAAGGACAUCACCCACAGAAGAAGCACCGGCUAACUCCGUGCCAGCAGCCGCGGUAAUACGGAGGGUGCGAGCGUUAAUCGGAAUUACUGGGCGUAAAGCGCGCGUAGGCGGUCUGAUAAGCCGGUUGUGAAAGCCCCGGGCUCAACCUGGGAACGGCAUCCGGAACUGUCAGGCUAGAGUGCCGGAGAGGAAGGUAGAAUUCCCGGUGUAGCGGGGAAAUGCGUAGAGAUCGGGAGGAAUACCAGUGGCGAAGGCGGCCUUCUGGACUGACACUGACGCUGAGGUGCGAAAGCGUGGGUAGCAAACAGGAUUAGAUACCCCGGUAGUC
rnacentral:rRNA from 1 species